ACGUACAAUUUGAUAAUCAAAAGUAUAUUGCAACCCUCUUUCAUUUAUUCAAAACUGAAGGCCAUAAAAAGCUUAAGUAGCUACUUGAUCAUCCAUUAGCUCUUGUCUGAAUUGGUAAACAAGAAAAAAAAAAGAAGACUAGUGAAAUGUGCCUUUGUGUUUCAUACUUCUCCUCUUCCCCUCCUUCCAAAACGACUAACAACCUCAGUAAUGGAGCAGACAUCUGGUCGACCAUAGAGACAACAAAUAGCAAUGUCGGACGACCGCACAAAUUAUUGGGGGCUUUGAGCGACGGUUCCGGGCAGAUAUUGGAAUCAACAAAUGUCAAACUUUACAGCUUUCUUGAUCUGACGACUGCGACGAUGAAUUUUAAACCGGACUUUAUGUUAGGUCAAGGAGAUUUUGGUGAAGUUUACAGAGAGGAGAAAAGAUCGAAACCAACAAAAGACGACGACUCUGUCGGUCUAGUCGACGUCUCAUCCGUCUCUCUCGGUGCUCAGGGCGACUCCUCCGUCUUCUCCUCGAAUUGGUGUGUAUUUUCUCUUGAUUCUUUCUUCAUCUCCGAAGCUACUCUUUGAAGAAUUGGGGAUCAAAGCUUCGUGAUGGACAACGAAUCGUUUGAUAGCAGCGGGUUUACGAAAGUUGUGGACUUUCUCAGAUUGAGAAGGAAGCAUUCAUAUCUAUCAUAAUUUAGUUGGGAAAAGGAAAGUCUUAUAACUGAAAUGCGUAAAGAGUUGAGAGUGUCAAACGAGGAACAUAGAGAGCUUCUCCAUCUGAUUCGUGUGUCUUUCAGCUCUCGCUCACGAUCUCUUCAUCUUCGAGAUCUCUUCCCAAGUUCCUGAAGGAUUAAGGAGGUAUGUUGUGUCAUCAAGAAAAGCGCAAGCAAACUGGUAAAGAUUUAAACUUUGUCUCUUUAUUUUAGCUAUGUACUUUAGCUUUGUCUCUGUAUUUUUAGCUCUGUAUUGAAAUUGAUAAAUGCUUGUUAGGUUGUGGUUAGUGUAAACGCGUGUGAUAAAUGCUUGUGAAUUGUGAUGAAUUGUUGUUUUAUUGUUACAUUAGAAUUGUGAUGAAUUGUUGUGGUGAAUGCUUGUGAAUUGUGAUGAAUUGUUGUGCUGAA